rnacentral:rRNA from 1 species
CGAACUGGGAGAUAGCUGGCUCUCCUCGAAAUGACUUUAGGGUCAGCCUUGAGGUUUAGGUGCUUGGAGGUAGAGCACUGUUUAGGCUAGGGGUGUCACCAACAUUACCAAACCUAGGCAAACUCCGAAUGCCAAGUUACCAUACUCAAGAGUGAGUCUUAGGGGGUUAAGCUCCUAGGACAAAAGGGAAACAACCCAGACCGUCAGCUAAGGUCCCUAAAUGUAUACUAAGUGGAAAAGGAUGUGGGGUUACUUAGACAACUAGGAGGUUGGCUUAGAAGCAGCCACCCUUUAAAGAAAGCGUAAUAGCUCACUAGUCGAGUGAUCCUGCGCCGAAAAUGUAACGGGGCUCAAGUAUACUACCGAAGCUACGGGAUUGUAUUUAUACAAUCGGUAGAGGAGCGUUCCGUAGUAGGUUGAAGUUAAACUGUAAAGUUUGAUGGACGAAGCGGAAGUGAGAAUGUCGGCAUAAGUAACGAAAAAAUAAGUGAGAAUCUUAUUCGCCGAAAGCCUAAGGUUUCCUGGGGAAGGCUCGUCCACCCAGGGUUAGUCGGUCCUAAGUCGAGGCCGAAAGGCGUAGUCGAUGGACAACAGGUUAAUAUUCCUGUACUACCGUUAUUUCGUUAUUAGCGAUGAGGUGACGCAGAAGGAUAGGUCAGCCACUUAUUGGAUUGUGGUUUAAGCUUGUAGGUAGGGGAGAUAGGCAAAUCCGUCUUCCCGUUAAUCUGAGAAGUGAAUACGACCUGCUUGCAGGGAAGUGAUUGAUUCCAUACUGACAAGAAAACCCUCUAGUGAGAAAUAAAGGUAACCGUACUAAAACCGACACAGGUAGGCAGGUAGAAAAUACUAAGGCGCGCGGGAUAACUCUCGUUAAGGAACUCGGCAAAUUAACCUCGUAACUUCGGGAGAAGAGGUGCCUAGUUAGUGUGAACACCCUGCGGUGGGAGCAUGAAUAGGUUGCAGUGAAAGGGCUCAAGCGACUGUUUAUCAAAAACACAGGUCUCUGCUAAACCGUAAGGUGAUGUAUAGGGGCUGACGCCUGCCCAGUGCUGGAAGGUUAAAGGGAGGUGUCAAUCUUUCGAGAUGAAGCACCGAACUGAAGCCCCAGUGAACGGCGGCCGUAACUAUAACGGUCCUAAGGUAGCGAAAUUCCUUGUCGGGUAAGUUCCGACCCGCACGAAAGGCGCAACGAAUUGAGCGCUGUCUCAACGAGAGACCCGGUGAAAUUGAAUUAUCCGUGAAGAUGCGGAUUACCCAUAGCAAGACAGAAAGACCCCGUGGAGCUUUACUGUAGCUUGGCUUUGUUUUUUGGACUAGUUUGUGCAGGAUAGGUGGGAG